UACGUAGGGGGCAAGCGUUGUCCGGAUUUAUUGGGCGUAAAGAGCGUGUAGGCGGCUUUACAGGUCCGUUGUGAAAACUCGAGGCUCAACCUCGAGAUGUCGGCGGAAACUGUCUGGCUAGAGUCCGGAAGAGGAGAGUGGAAUUCCUGGUGUAGCGGUGAAAUGCGCAGAUAUCAGGAAGAACACCUAUGGCGAAGGCAGCUCUCUGGGACGGUACUGACGCUGAGACGCGAAAGCGUGGGGAGCGAACAGG
rnacentral:rRNA from 1 species